rnacentral:lncRNA from 1 species
CCACCUCGAGGGCCAUUUCCUUAAGGCGGGCAGCCUCGGCCUGCUGACCUUCCACCGCCUUGUUUGUCGUCUCGAUGUUGGUGAGGAGUUGGUGCCCAAGCUGCAAGGGCGACCGGAGAGUCAGAAUGGGAGCUGGAAAGUUAAUUAAAUGAAGAAGCGAAAAGAAAAAGGAGAACGAAUCUACUUACCUCGAGGAAGGCCCCCAGCGAGUCCCAGACUCAUUGUGUAGGAUCGACGCGGACGAUCCUCUGGAUGACUUCGGGC